CCUAGAGGAGAGCGCUGUACUGCCCUCUCUUCUGUCUACAUUCCACUUCUAUGUGAUCGUAGAGAAAUGAAGGAGAGAAUUGGGGCUCACCUGUGUCUGCUAGCGUCAGCAGCGACUUCUCUGUGUGUGUGUGUCUCUCUCACUCUCCCUCUGUCUCUUGGGAGCUGGUGGCUGUGGUGAUAUCCGAGUGCUGAAGGAUCCUCUGCCCUCCUCUUUUAUACUCAACGUUCUAAUCCCUCAAUCUCCUCUUUUCUAAGUAUGUGACGGCUGAAGGUAAGUCAGCACCAUCCCCUACCUGGACGCUUUGCCUGGCAUCCUCCAUUGAUGGGAUGGGGUGGGGUGGGGGGUUGGAAGGCAGAGAAAAGUACAGACACAUGAAGAUGUCCCUGGAGUCUGUCUUUAAUUGACUUAAGGCUGCUUUAGUUGUUAGUGAGGCUGUGUUAGCCGCAGGUUGCUGGCCCGAGGUUGAUGGGGGUGCCGCGCGUGUGCCUGCAGGGUCUAAUUUCCCAUCCAUGUACUGGGGAAAUGUUGAAAUGUUGUCAUCCAAUGAUGUCACCUCAUAGCAAAAGAGGUCAGAGUGGAGUUAACGUGUCAGGCACCUGAACACCACCGACCCCUCCCCUUCCUCCGCUCUACCUGCCCCUCUGUGUCUGCGUGGUUGUGGACAUAAGUCCCAAAUUGGAUUACACAUGGAGUGAAGAAUGAGGUCCUCGCUCUGAAACAACAGCUUACUGGUUUGUCUAAGAAACAUUCGUCUGGCCACUGUCUGACAUUUUUUUUCUUAUUGUGCAAUAUGGUGGAGGCCAGGCCACUUUGGAACGACUUGCAAAUAGAUUUUUCUAGAACAUUAGAGCUGUUUUAAUGUAAGAUACAUGUUCUUACAAAAUAGUGUUGUAAGAAAUAAAGAAAAAAUAAAGAAAGAA